ensembl:lncRNA
CAAGGUCAGGGGUCACAGAAACUUCAUAACUGUCCGCCCAAAAGAGUUUCACAAACAGUUUGAUCAAGAAACCGGAUUAAUAAUUUUUAAAAAACUGAACACAAAAGUAAACACCUGGAUUAAUAAUAAUAAUAAUAAUAAUAAUAAUAAUAAUAAUGCUAACGAUCCCGAACGAAUAACCGAAAGGCGCUCACGGAUGGAACGGUCGAGUCAGUUAGCAUUAGCGUGUGGUUCUCCUCGGAGAAGCGCUCUGGAGGAAAAGCUUGCUGGAGUCUGCAGUGUGAAUUCUCCUGACCAGCAAAAACUCCAGCAGCGGAGACGUUAAGAGCUAUUUAUAAUCUCAACUCCGCAGCUGGAAAGCUUAACAGCGCUACAGAGGAUAUCAACCUGAGCCCAGGUGUAGGGGUGUGUGUGUGUGUGUGUGUGUAGGAUGCGACUGGGGAUCAUCACAUGACCUAACGAAGCACGAGGUUGUAAGUAA